ensembl:lncRNA
AGAUUUUAUAUAGUAGGUCAGAAAUUAAGUCAAUUAUUAAAAGGAAUAUUCUGAAAAUAUGGCAGCAAUAUUGGGAUAAUGAAAUAAAAGGUAGACAUAUGCAUCAAAUACAGUCAAUAGUGGGUAAAGGAAGAAUAACAGGUAGGAGUAGAUAUGAGGAGAAUAUGAUUACAAGAUUAAGAUUGGGGCAUACAAGAUUGAAUAGUACAUUGCAUUUAAUAGGUAAGAAUCCAACAGGUUUAUGUGAGGCAUGUGAAGUUAGUGAAACAGUUGAGCAUGUAGUAAUGCACUGCAGGAGAUAUAAGGUAGAAAGGAAAGAGUUGAAGAAGGAAUUAAAUAAUAUAGGAGUUAAGUUUACAAUUAAAAAUGUAUUAAAGUCAGAUAGGAGUAUAAUAAAUUUAAUGGUAGAAUAUAUGGGAAAUACUGGGUUAAAUAAGCGUAUUUAAAAGAGGAAGGGUUUAUUUAAGGUUUUUUUUUAUUUUUUAUUAUUAAUUUUUUUUUUUUCCUUCUCUGUCAUGGGGGCUGAGAGUGGACGGAGGAGCUGAACACGCAGCGCCGGAUGAAACUCUAUGAAGCCUCGGUGCGGGUAAAUAAGGAGAAUUUAUGUUGGUUGAAAGGUUAUAGAAUAGGAAGUGUCUAUGGUCCAUUUCAAAAAAGGUGGCGGUAAUGCACAUAUUUGUCUGCGAUCCGCCGUUAAAAAGCAAGAAGAAGAAGAAGCCUGGAGAUGGUGUUCGAUCUCUUUUUGUGUGGAAGUGUGCUGUUUAGUAGUGCUUCCAUGUUUGUUUGUGCAUUGAUAUGGUCUGGAUGAGUAGACACCCAUUGUGCUGUCCUUCGUACACGUGAUACCGCUGCACAUGGUCUAGGUGAGUAGGUAGGCUGAACGAACACUGGUUGUUUUGCUAACAAAGCCUUGUUUUAUUAAAGUAGGGUGUUUGGUUUUUAAGGUAGAUGUAAACAUCAUGGAUUAAUUUGCCAUUGGUCACACGCGUUCUUCUUUGAUCUGGGAAACCUUUGGAAAGUAGUUCGGGAUUGAUAGCAAUGUUGCAGAUGCGGACAUAUAAAAGAAAAAGUAACCGUGGUGCUUAUACAGUGCAAGCUCUACAAAAUGAGAUUCGAGGGGAAUUCAUCUGUGAAAUGUGCAUGGAUGAACAGUGAAUGGCUAAUGAAUUAAUGUGUAUUUAUUUAUUUAUUAUUUUUUGGUUAAAUAAUUGUUAAAAUGGCUGUGAAUGGCUAAUGAAUUAAUGUUUGUUUAUUUAUUUAUUUAUUACAACAUAUUUGUUUGCAUGACUUAUAUGUAUAAAUUUAAAUGUUAAAAAUUUGGAUAUGUUGGACAUUU